rnacentral:lncRNA from 1 species
AUGAAGUUUAUAGACCCAAAGGUUGUGAAUGGAAGCAUUGAGGUUGAGAUUGAAGCAGAAGAUACCAUUUCUGAUAUAAAGUUGUGGGAACCUUCGAUUGUCUUGUAUGCCCUGGGAGGAGAGCUUAGUAUGAACGCGGUUAAAAACUUCAUGAUCAAGAAUUGGAGUUUUGUGCAGCUCCUAGAUAUGUAUUAUCACGAGGAAUGA